UCCUACGGGAGGCAGCAGUGGGGAAUCUUGCACAAUGGGGGAAACCCUGAUGCAGCGACGCCGCGUGAGCGAUGAAGCCCUUCGGGGUGUAAAGCUCUUUCGGCAGGGAAGAUAGUGACGGUACCUGCAGAAGCAGCUGCGGCUAACUACGUGCCAGCAGCCGCGGUAAUACGUAGGCAGCAAGCGUUGUUCGGAGUUACUGGGCGUAAAGGGUGUGUAGGCGGUUCUUUAAGUUUGGUGUGAAAUCUCCCGGCUCAACCGGGAGGGUGCGCCGAAUACUGAGGGACUAGAGUGUGGGAGAGGAAAGUGGAAUUCCUGGUGUAGCGGUGAAAUGCGUAGAUAUCAGGAGGAACACCGGUGGUGUAGACGGCUUUCUGGACCAUAACUGACGCUGAGACACGAAAGCGUGGGUAGCAAACAGGAUUAGAUACCCUGGUAGUCCACGCCCUAAACGAUGCAUAUUUGGUGUGGGUCAUUCAGUUGAUCCGUGCCGGAGCUAACGCGUUAAAUAUGCCGCCUGGGGAGUACAGUCGCAAGGCUGAAACUCAAAGGAAUUGACGGGGGCCCGCACAAGCGGUGGAGCAUGUGGUUCAAUUCGACGCAACGCGAAGAACCUUACCUGGGCUCGAACGGCUUCUCAACGCCGGUGGAAACAUCGGUACCCCGCAAGGGGGUGGAGUCGAGGUGCUGCAUGGCUGUCGUCAGCUCGUGUCGUGAGAUGUUGGGUUAAGUCCCGCAACGAGCGCAACCCUUGUCCUGUGUUGCCAUCAUUCAGUUGGGAACUCGCAGGAGACCGCCAGCGAUAAGCUGGAGGAAGGUGGGGAUGACGUCAAGUCCUCAUGGCCUUUAUGUCCAGGGCUACACACGUGCUACAAUGGACGGUACAAACCGCAGCAAACCC
rnacentral:rRNA from 1 species